rnacentral:lncRNA from 1 species
GUCUAAGACAAGAUAAUUGUAAUUUUGUGGGUUAAUCUCUGUGUCCUCUCUUCUGUACCAUUGGUCUACCAGUGUGUUUUGGUGCCAAUAUCAUGCUGUUUUUGUUACUAUUGCUCUGUAGUAUAGUUUAAGUUCUGCUAUAGUGAUGCCGCCUGCUUUGCUCUUCCUGCUAAGGAUUGCUUUAGCUAUUCUGGGUCUCCUAUUUUUUCAGAUGAAUUUCAUGAUUGCUUUUUCUAUUUCUAUGAGGAAUGUCAUUGGGAUUUUGAUUGGAAUUCAUUAAAUCUGUAUAGUGCUUUUGGUAGUAUGGUCAUUUUGAUAAUAUUAAUUCUGCCUAUCCAAGAGCAAGGUAGAUCUUUCCAUCUUCUAAGGUCUUCUUUGAUUUCUUUCUUUAGGGUUCUGUAGUUUUCAUUGUAUACAUCUCUCACUUUUUUCUUUAAGUUGAUUUCCAAGUAUUUUAUUUUUUUUUUCUUUUUUG